UAAUAUAAUCUUGCUUCAGGGAACCAGGAAUGCGGUGCAAAUCCGCAACGGUCCCGCCACUGUAACCGGGGAUACCUGCGACAGGAGCGCCCGAUUUUUAUCGCGCUCAGCCAUUGCGGCCUGCAAAUGCCGUGAGAAGGCGUCGACGGAGUUAAAUGAUCCGGAAGUCAGGAUACAACCCUGAGGCUAUCCCGGACCU
rnacentral:ncRNA from 1 species